GAUGCGGCUGCCAUUGAGGAUGGCUCUUGAGGAGCGAUGGUGAUGCCCAGCAUUUGAACAAUGCUGAGCAGUGUUCUGAGUGGGCCCAAGGGAGCUGGAGGAAGAAAGGGGCAUGCCCCAAGAAGGCGUGGAGCCUUGCGGGGAGCAGGUCGCUCACAUCCAGGAGGAGCAGGGUGAGGUGAGCAUCAGUCCGGGAGCGGACGUAGAGCCCGGCGUAGGGCCAUCACCUCGUCGGCGCUGUCCCCGUCGCCCAGCGCCGUUCCUGUUUUACAGGUGUGUGGCGGACCUCGGUGUGGGGAGCUAUAGCCCAGCAGUUGGGAUGGGAGAGCGGAGCAGGAAAAGGUGUGGGAGCGAAUGCCUGAUGUGGAUGGGCUGUGGUGUUGCGGGCAUC